rnacentral:lncRNA from 1 species
CUAUUAUAAUUCGAAAGUUCUAUGCAGAAUUGAACCUGAUGAUGGCAUAAAACACCAAAAAUGUUUGUUCAUUAAAAAAUUUCCCUAAACUGCUGUGCUUUUAUUUAUUUGUAUUCAAAAUUUAAAAUAAGGUAUUAGCAGUACCCAAAAGGUAAAACAAGUCUAUAUAGUACACCUGCACCAACCUAUAGUCAACGUAAAAAGAUCUAUAGAGAAGAAAAUGAGAAAGUCCUUAGCAUUCAGCAGGAGAAAUAUACUAUUCAGUGUAACCAGGAACAAUAAAGAUUGGAUACUGGGAGUGUAUAGUAUAUCACUAAUAAAUAUAAAGCUUGACAGAAGAGAAAUAUAUAAGGUACAUAUUAUGCUUACUAAGCAAGAGAAGAAAAGAGCAUCAAGUGGUUAUGGAGAAUACAAUUCAAAGAACUGCUCUAUUGCAAAGGCCCAUGCAUUUUAAGUACAAGUAUAAUGGGAGGAUGCAAAACUUCUCAAACCAAUAGAAAAUCCAAAAUAUGGGAAAAUUGCAGAAAAAUAUCACUAUAUUUGAAGCAAAAAUGAGGAAAGAAUUCAUAAUUAAUAAAUUUACAGCAUAAGCCAGGCCUAGAAAUAGUAUAUGAAUUAAUAAUUAUAGUAUAUUAAUUCCAAAUGAUUGUGUCAAUUUUGUAUAAAUUCCC